rnacentral:lncRNA from 1 species
UUCCUUCUCUCUGGACCCUUAAUUGAAAUGGGCCCCAAUCUGCCGUCGGACGCGACCAUCUUCCGGUCGAAGCUCCCCGACAUCGAGAUCCCUGACCACCUCCCCCUCCACGCCUACUGCUUCCAACACCUCGCCGCCCACCGCGACCGCCCCUGCCUCAUCGACUCCGCCACCGGCACCACUUUGACAUACGCCGACGUCGAUCUCCUUUCCCGCCGCGCCGCUGCAGGCCUACACAGCCUCGGCCUCCGCCCCGGCGGAGUCCUCAUGCUCCUCCUCCCCAACUGCCAAGCCUUCGCCCUCGCCUUCCUCGCCGCCUCCCGCCUCGGCGCCAUCGUCACCACCGCCAACCCCUUCCACACCCCGGCCGAGGUCGCCAAGCAGGCGGCCGCCUCCGCCGCCCGCGUCGUCCUCACCGAGUGCUGCCACGUCCCCAAGGUCGCCGAUCUCAAUAUUCCCAUCAUCUGCGUCGAUGGACCCCUCCCCGACGGCUGCAUCCCCUUCUCCGACGUUCUCUCCGCCGACGAGGCGGCGGCGCCGGAGGUGGAGAUCGACCCAGACGCCGUGGUGGCUCUCCCCUACUCCUCCGGCACCACCGGGCUCCCCAAAGGAGUCAUGCUCACGCACCGAGGGCUGGUGACCAGCGUGGCCCAGCAGGUGGACGGCGACAACCCCAACCUCUACUUCCAUGAAGAAGACGUCAUUCUCUGCGUGCUGCCGCUCUUCCACAUAUACUCUUUGAACUCCGUACUGCUGUGCGGGCUGAGGGUGGGGGCGGCGCUACUGAUAAUGAGGAAGUUCGACGUGGCGGUGCUGAUGGAGCUGGUGGAGAGGUACAAGGUGACGAUAGCGCCGUUCGUGCCGCCGAUAGUGGUGGAGAUGGUGAAGAGCCCGGCGGUGGACCGCUACGACCUGUCCUCAAUUCGGACGGUGAUGUCCGGGGCGGCGCCCAUGGGGAAGGAGCUGCAGGACAAGCUCAUGGCCAAGAUACCGAAUGCCAAGCUCGGGCAGGUAUGUAAUGGAUGGGGCAUUUUUCUUGGCAUUGCUGUCGGUCUCCAUUAAAUUUACAAUUGAUGAUCUAGUUUGCGAUGGGUUAAUUUUAUCUUGUGUUUAAUUAAACAAUUGGUGAUUCUAACUUUUUUGAAAAAUAAUUGUUGGGUGCUUGAUAGAUCGCGAGCUUAGAUCAAAUCGUUCUUUUUCCGAGAAGUGGGAGCUUAGACUAAAUCAUAUCAACACUAGGGACAUUAGAUAGUAAUUUAAUUAUGUCAUAUAAAUCGUGAGAUUACUGAUUAUGUUCCCAGCUAUUUUUUGUCUAGUUAAAUCACGCAGUACUUUGGUGGGUCCCACCAAUCAGUGACCGGUUGCCCGGAACACGGUGGAUCCUGGCUGAGCAGCCGAUGCUCUAUCAUAUCAUGCUAGCGACCAAUGUUAGUGGGACCAACUAUAAUUUGUAGUUGAGUCUAAUCCACCGACAAACUAAUCGAAAAAUCGAAUGAUGAAAUAACAUAAGAAUAUNNNNNNNNNNNNNNNNNNNNNNNNNNNNNNNNNNNNNNNNNNNNNNNNNNNNNNNNNNNNNNNNNNNNNNNNNGUAUUUUUAUAUGUUGCUUUAUGAUUGAACUGAUCCACCAACUAAUUGGUGUGAAGGAUUUGAUCCAACCAAUAAUUACUUCAUCGAAAUAAUAGCAAAAAAGAAUUAAAAAACUAAGAGUAUACCUAUAUUCCAAAUUUUGAAAGAUUGUAUCUUAGCAUAAUAGUAAAUUACUUUCUUAUAAUUUGAUUGUCACUAUUCAAUAUAGGUGCGGUCUUUUUACACUGUAGUAGAUUCUAAAUUUGAUGUCUUUUCCGGAGGGGAAGGACGGGUGGGGGUCCUGCGGUUUGUAAACUUCGAUCUAUCAAUCUUUUAAAUGCUCGAACUAGGCCAAAGAUCGAUAUGGUAUAUCUUUUAUAGUAAAAUUUAGUUUAAAACGCUCGAAUUCUGAUUCAUCUCUGCUAGUGUCCGUUGCUUUCAUAUGCCCCUGCAGUCAUUCAGUUGUUUUCUGACAAAUUUGUCGCGGAAAGCUACGGGAAAGAGCAGCUAAUUAUGCCAUACAUUUAAUGCGAAAAUGGCUGGCAACUAAACUUAGGGUAUUUGGCUGAAAAAUCUCACAGGGCUACGGAAUGACCGAAGCUGGGCCAGUUCUCUCCAUGUGUCUAGCAUUUGCGAAGGAGCCGUUUGAUGUCAAAUCAGGAUCAUGUGGCACCGUUGUGAGGAACGCUGAGCUCAAGAUAUUAGAUCCUGAGACUGGACUAUCCCUGCCUCGGAACCAGCCUGGUGAGAUCUGCAUCAGGGGAAAGCAAAUUAUGAAAGGUAACUCUUGGAUCCUUUGUCAUCUUUUUGCUUGCUCAUUGGUUAAAGGAGCUUUGUGGUUAAUUAUAGGAAUUAAAGUAACUUGUUGACAAAUGCCAAGUUAAUCAUAUAUAUAACUUUGUUUUCAGAAAAGCUUUUCUUUUCUUUUCUUUUCUUUUCAAUGACAACGAAAAUAACCUAUUAAUGAUACAAAUAGACGCUACAAGCGAUUCUUUGGUCAUAGGUUUCGACAAAAUAUAUAUUUCUAUCCCCCCGCCAAAAAAACACCAUUAUUUGAUGCCAUGGUCCAACUACAUUAACGAGAACCUACUUUGCCAAUGCUGAUAUGAGAAGGUUGGUGCUCUCUAUCAGUCACUUUUAAUGGAUCGCAUCAAUCUAUAGCCAUGUGACAUGCCAACGGUGCUGGUAAAUGAAUUGGACCUGCCUUGUUGCACUCUAAUAAAAGCUACGUACAAAUCACAGACAUUGAUUGGCCCCUCUAGCAAAAGAAAAUUCUAUAUAAUUUUUAGAUUUUUUUUUCAUGCAUACAUUUCUAAAUAUCAAAAUUUACAUAAAUAUCAUUUCAAAAUUGAUAUUUGCAUGUAUAUUCCCGUAAAAUACUUCUUUUGCUCUUCUGCCAUUUUUUGUCCGUGUUUUUGCAUGCGUAUCCGUGCCAUCUAAUACCGUUAAAAAAUUAAGGGCUUCUAAAUUAAAAUGAUUAAAAUAUUUUUAAUGAGUAAAUGUGCAAAAAGAAAAUAUUUAUAAGACAAUUACGGUAGAGGACAAAAAAUAAUUUUAAAAUUUUAUUUUAUUUUUUAUUAAAAUAAAUGUGGUUUUUAUUAAGGGUGUUUGAAGACUCGUUAUAUUAAGGAUAUUUGUGUAAAAAUAAUAUUUUAUGAGGGUACAAAAAUAAAUAUAAUUUUAAAAAAAAUAUUUACAUAAAUUUGGUUUUUUGAGAAGUAUAUUUAUAUAAAAAAUCUUAAUUUUUAAUAGCCAUCUUGAAUAGCUUUCCACAUGCAUAUGCCAUGCCAUAUGCAGUAUACAUUAGUUGGUGGUUGACCAUCUCUUUUGAUAGUCGCCAUCGAAAGCUGUCCAGCAUUGUGUGUAUGCGGUGAGAAUCCUAGUUGGCCACAACAUAGAUGUAAUUAAAAAAUAUGUAAGACAUCCACGUCACCAUUCCAUGUCUCAAAACGCGGAACUAACCAAAAAAAAAAAAAUCAAACAGUGGGACCGCAUUCUCCCGGCCGACACUCAUCAUUCAGCGCUACCGGACAACAUUCUUUAGCAAAAAGAGCCACGGGAUAAUAUUGUAAAGCAAAUUAAAUAUCUCUGGUUACAGCUUGCUUGCUCUCCAAAAAAUUCGAUCCUUAUUUGCUUGGAAGUUUUUCCUAUGAAAUUUCUCGGAAAGUACGUACGCGAUCACAAGCCCUGUAUUAUCUGGCCCGUUUGCAGCCUUAUCAUUAUCAAAGAUUCUCUGUUUUGAUCUCGCUGCAAUCAGACCUUUGAGCAGCCUAGCUCGAGGUGGAACCAUCUAUCCUAUGCUAUGAUGAUUACUGUCAAAGAAGCUUGAUGGGCUUGGCCAUGGGUUUGCUUUUAAAAAAGAAGAAGAAAGGGGUCAUACUAACUUUAUCUUGUUGUAAUUAUUUAGGUUAUCUGAAUGAUCCGGAGGCAACGGAACGGACCAUAGACAAAGAAGGUUGGCUGCAUACUGGGGAUAUUGGGUACGUGGAUGAUGACGAGGAGAUCUUCAUAGUGGACAGGCUAAAAGAGCUCAUCAAAUACAAAGGGUUCCAAGUGGCCCCUGCUGAGCUCGAAGCCAUGCUCAUCGCCCACCCCAACAUAGCCGAUUCUGCCGUAGUCUCGUAAGUGGUGCACCUUAAUCACGGUCCGAUUUUGCUCAUAGCGUCUUAUUUUUUCCAGCCACCAAUUCGCUUAUGUAUCACUCCAAUUUCAUUUUGAUGAUUUCCAGAAUGAAGGAUGAUCUCUGUGGGGAGCUCCCGGUGGCAUUUGUCGUGCGAUCAGGUGGCUCGGAAAUCACGGAAGACGAGAUCAAACGAUACAUCUCCAAACAGGUGAGAUGCCCAACUAAUUACACAAUUUAAGAGCUCAGCUAUAAUGACCUGGCAUAUAAUACAUCCAACGUAACCUAACGGGUCCCUUAUGGAAGCAAAUGGGCCGGCCCACGGAAUCAAUUUGGAGGGAAUAAUAAAAAGUAUACCGGAAGCGAUUGGCUUUUUUAACGGAAUUAGCUGUUCUUUGGCAUCAUUUGAUUGGCGACACAAGUGGGAGGGGACAAGGAAAGGAAAUAGAGUUCGACCUACUUUGGAAUUCUUGAUGAUAUAUAUAUAUAUAUAUAUUUUAAUCACAAAGGUAAAAUUAAACUGAACCAAAUCUUUUCCUUCUCUCUGGACCCUUAAUUGAAAUGGGCCCCAAUCUGCCGUCGGACGCGACCAUCUUCCGGUCGAAGCUCCCCGACAUCGAGAUCCCUGACCACCUCCCCCUCCACGCCUACUGCUUCCAACACCUCGCCGCCCACCGCGACCGCCCCUGCCUCAUCGACUCCGCCACCGGCACCACUUUGACAUACGCCGACGUCGAUCUCCUUUCCCGCCGCGCCGCUGCAGGCCUACACAGCCUCGGC